ACUUAGCGGCGGACGGGUGAGUAACGCGUGGGCAACCUGCCUUACACAGGGGGAUAACAAUUAGAAAUGAUUGCUAAUACCGCAUAAGACCCCAGUACCGCAUGGUACAGGGGUAAAAACUGAGGUGGUGUAAGAUGGGCCCGCGUCUGAUUAGGUAGUUGGUGGGGUAGAAGCCUACCAAGCCGACGAUCAGUAGCCGACCUGAGAGGGCGACCGGCCACAUUGGGACUGAGACACGGCCCAAACUCCUACGGAAGGCAGCAG
rnacentral:rRNA from 1 species